CUAUCACCCUUAGUCUUCAAACAAGUAUUUUUUCCAUUUUCAGUAAUGAGCCUCUUUAAUUUUGACAUUUUAACAUAAACCAGGUCUUGAUUUCUCUGUCCCUCAGCAGCAACAUUAUGGGAUCCUAGACUGUAGAUCUGAAGUAGCUUCAUGAUGGAGCCCGCCACUGCAGAUUGCUUUUUUUGUACCACUGAAGUCCCAA